GAUGAACGCUGGCGGCGUGCCUAAUACAUGCAAGUCGAGCGAACAGACGAGGGGCUUGCUCCUCUGACGUUAGCGGCGGACGGGUGAGUAACACGUGGAUAACCUACCUAUAAGACUGGGAUAACUUCGGGAAACCGGAGCUAAUACCGGAUAAUAUAUUGAACCGCAUGGUUCAAUAGUGAAAGACGGUUUUGCCGUCACUUAUAGAUGGAUCCGCGCCGCAUUAGCUAGUUGGUAAGGUAACGGCUUACCAAGGCGACGAUGCGUAGCCGACCUGAGAGGGUGAUCGGCCACACUGGAACUGAGACACGGUCCAGACUCCUACGGGAGGCAGCAGUAGGGAAUCUUCCGCAAUGGGCGAAAGCCCGACGGAGCAACGCCGCGUGAGUGAUGAAGGUCUUCGGAUCGUAAAACUCUGUUAUUAGGGAAGAACAAAUGUGUAAGUAACUAUGCACGUCUUGACGGUACCUAAUCAGAAAGCCACGGCUAACUACGUG
rnacentral:rRNA from 1 species